UACAGGGGGUGCGAGCGUUAAUCGGAGUUACUGGGCGUAAAGGGCGCGUAGGCGGUGUGAUGUGUGUGGUGUGAAAGCCCCGGGCUUAACCUGGGAAGUGCAUCGCAAACUAUCGUACUGGAGUACAUGAGAGGGUGGCGGAAUUUCCGGUGUAGCGGUGAAAUGCGUAGAGAUCGGAAGGAACGUCAAUGGCGAAGGCAGCCACCUGGCAUGAUACUGACGCUGAGGCGCGAAAGCGUGGGGAGCGAACAGG
rnacentral:rRNA from 1 species